CCCGGGCGACCGGCGCACGGGUGAGUAACGCGUAUGCAACCUGCCCGUUUCAGCGGGAUAACCCGGAGAAAUCCGGCCUAAUACCGCAUGUGGCCGAGGGGAGGCAUCUUCUUUCGGCCAAAGGAGGCGACUCCGGAGACGGAUGGGCAUGCGUGACAUUAGCUAGUUGGCGGGGUAACGGCCCACCAAGGCGACGAUGUCUAGGGGUUCUGGAGAGGAAGGUCCCCCACCACUGGUACUGAGACACGGACUAGACUCCUACGGAAGGCAGCAG
rnacentral:rRNA from 1 species